GCUAAGGGAAAUCAAAUGGAAAUGCCCGUGGUGAUCGUGCCGGAGCCAUUAGCUGGAAGGCCGCCGGCGCCAAAGAAUAUCGCCCAUAAAAGACUAGCCGUUGAGAGAAUGAUAACGGCAAAACCAUUUGAAUUUCAAUAUAAAUAUAAGCAAUUCAGUUUCAUUUCGUUACAGACAUUCUUUCUUUCUCUGAUUGCCCCUUUCUCUCGAUGUUCUGUUUUGUGAUUGUCCAUUUAAGUGUUUGCUUUGUUUUCAUUUUUCAUUUUUUCUGGUUUUCAGUGUGCACGCUGGUCUGUCUGUCUUUUUUUUGGUAUUACAUUUUUCUGGCAAAGCAGGGGAAAGGUAGAGCAGAGGAAGAGGCAGAGCAACCGAGGGCAAAUUCUUCUUCCAGGCAUGAGAUUCAGAACCCAGCAAGUGUUCAUAUAACUGAUGCAGAGAGGAAGAAAUGGGAAGUUCCUUAUGACCUGCUUUGCCUUAUGACCUGCUUUGUUUAUAGCAAGUAGCUGCUCUAGAAGGAAACCAUAUUUUCAAAACAACUAACCCAGUGUUUGAAUUCUCUGUGUUCUCAGGCAAUGAGUUGAUCUUCUCCUACACAGCUAACCCAUUUGGAUUUGCUAUCAAGCGCAGAUCCCAUGGAAAGGUUAUGUUCAACUCUUCAUAUGGUAGCUUGGUUUUCAGUAUCUGGUGAGCAGAUACCAAAUCGUUGAGGACUUGGAUGUGCUAUCUGUACCAUGACUGUAAUCCUAUGGUUCUGCAUGGAGAUGUGCACCAAUGUAGUAAUGGACAGACACACGGAAGCUCGGAUGUCUGAUUUUGCUCAGCCAGACUCAUGCAGAGGGAAGCCACCAUGUGCUCUAGCGCAUAUAUUGCAUCAGCCACAUGGAAGCUUGGAUGUCUGAUUUUGCUUAGCCAGACUCAUGCAGAGGGAAGCCACCAUGUGCUCUAGCGCAUACAUUGCACCACGGUGGCAGGCAUGUUGCAGCCAAAAAACUUCAGUAUGAUAAGAAGGAUAUUGAGCAGCUUUUUGAAUUAGUUGUUUUUCAUCAUGGUGUAUUCAAAACAACAAGAGAUGGAAUUAGGCUUGCAUUAUUUCUUUAGUUACGUUUUGGUCAAGCAUUUUGACUUGAUAGCAUUGUAAAAUGUACAAAUAUAAUGUUUAAUAAAAAAAUUAUUGGUUUGGACUGAAGGGAACAGUCAUUGGCCAUGGCUAUUCCUUGAGGUCGUGUUUUCUGACAGCUUAAAGAAUGGUCAAUAGGCCAAAGCCAUUCAUUAA